UGCCGCGUGUGUGAAGAAGGNCUUCGGAUUGUAAAGCACUUUNAGUUGGGAGGAANGGUUGUAGAUUAAUACUCUGNAAUUNUGACGUUACCNACAGAAUAAGCACCGGCUAACUCUGUGCCAGCAGCCGCGGUAAU
rnacentral:rRNA from 1 species